rnacentral:rRNA from 1 species
UAGGGAAUCUUCGGCAAUGGGGGGAACCCUGACCGAGCAACGCCGCGUGAGUGAAGAAGGUUCUCGGAUCGUAAAGCCCUGUUGUUAAGGAAGAACGAGUGUGAGAACGGAAAGUUCAUGCUGCGACGGUACUUAACCAGAAAGGGACGGCUAACUACGUGCCAGCAGCCGCGGUAAUACGUAGGUCCCGAGCGUUGUCCGGAUUUAUUGGGCGGAAAGCGAGCGCAGGCGGUCAAUUAGGUCUGAUGUGAAAGCCCCCGGCUCAACCGGAGAGGGUCAUUGGAAACUGGUUGACUUGGGUUCAGAAGGGGAGAGUGGAAUUCCAUGUGUAGCGGUGAAAUACGUAGGUAUAUGGAGAAACACCGGUGGAGAGAACGGCUCUCUGGUCUGUAACUGACGCUGAGGCUCGAAAGCGUGGGGAGCGAACAGG